rnacentral:rRNA from 1 species
AUUGAACGCUGGCGGCAGGCCUAACACAUGCAAGUCGAGCGGAGCGGCGGACGGGUGAGUAAUGCCUAGGAAUCUGCCUGGUAGUGGGGGAUAACGUCCGGAAACGGGCGCUAAUACCGCAUACUAUCAGAUGAGCCUAGGUCGGAUUAGCUAGUUGGUGGGGUAAAAGCCUACCAAGGCGACUAUCCCUAGCUGGUCUGAGAGGAUGACCAGCCACACUGGAAAUGAGACACGGUCCAGACUCCUACGGGAGGCAGCAGUGGGGAAUAGUGCACAAUGGGCGCAAGCCUGAUGCAGCCAUGCCGCGUGUGUGAAGAAGGCCUGCGGGUUGUAAAGCACUUUCAGCGGGGAGGCGUUACCCGCAGAAGAAGCACCGGCUAACUCCGUGCCAGCAGCCGCGGUAAUAC